CAAAAUUCAUGUAUUGAAAUCCUAACUGCCAACCUGAUAGUAUUAGGAGUUGUGGCCUUUAGGGAGGUGAUUAGGUCAUGAAAGCAGAACCAUCAAUAAUGAGAUUAGUGCCCUCAUAAAACAAGCCCAAGGAAGAACAUUCAUCCCUUUUACCAUGUGAGGACACAGCAAGAAGUUGGCAGUCUGCAAUCCAGAAGAGGGUUUUCACCAGAAUCCGAACAUACUGGCACCCUGAUCUUGGACUUCUUAGCUUCCAGAACUGCAUGAAGAAAUAAUGACACUGAAAACAUCGAGUGACUUAUUCAUACAGGAUGAGGAUGAGCAGGAGAUGAACCCUUAUCAAAUUCUGGCUCUACACCAAGCACUAAUAAUUAGCUGUUUGACACUCUUCCGGAUAUUGUUUUUGUCACUUAACAACAUAACUUGGUGAUCCUCCCAGAGCAGAAAAGCUCUCCCAGAUAUGUUUCAGGGCAGCGUAACCUUCCUUGUUCUUCCUUCACUGAGCAUGUUAUAUGUGGAAAGAACACAUCCUCACUUGGGGAAACCAGAUAAAUUGUUUAAAUUAUUGCAAAUGUGAAUGAUUUUAAUGUAGAAAUAACCUUUUUCAUUCCACAUUAAUCACAAAUACUGUUCACAACCCUUCGUAAUAAACUUGUCUCUGCUUUUUUUUUUUUUUUUUUUCCUGGUAUUCUUUGUGAUUAGAAUCUCUCGCCUUGGUAUCCGCUGUGUUCAAGAGCAGAACAGAGCUUUGAACUUUACAGGCUAGUGCUCAGAAUUAAAAGUGCUUAAUGCCACCAAGAUUUCUAUUAAAAAACCCAGGGUAAAGGAAAAAGCCUUUUGCUUCAGCUGAAAUGUUCUUGUAGAGGGCAAAAUGGAAAAUACAAACACCACUGCCGUUUGCUGGUUGGAUACCACAGCCAUCGGCACCUCCUGGAAAUGGCA
rnacentral:lncRNA from 1 species